GAACGGUAGCAGAGAGGAGCUUGCUUUUUUGUGUGGCGAGUGGCGGACGGGUGAGGAAUAUAUGGGAAUCUACUUUAUGGUGGGGGAUAACGUAGGGAAACUUAAGCUAAUACCGCAUAAGGUCUACGGGUCGAAAGCAGGGGAUCUUCGGGCCUUUCGCGAUUGAAUGAGCCCAGUGUCGGAUUAGCUAGUUGGCGGGGUAAAGGCUCACCAAGGCGACGAUCCCUAGCUGGUCUGAGAGGAUGAUCAGCCACACUGGAACUGAGACACGGUCCAGACUCCUACGGGAGGCAGCAGUGGGGAAUAUUGGACAAUGGGCGCAACCUGAAUGCAGCCAUACCGCGUGGAUGAAGAAGGCCUUCGGGUUGUAAAGUCCUUUUGUUGGGAAAGAAAUCCAUAUAGUUAAUACCC
rnacentral:rRNA from 1 species